rnacentral:rRNA from 1 species
CCUACGGGUGGCUGCAGUGAGGAAUAUUGGUCAAUGGUCGGGAGACUGAACCAGCCAAGCCGCGUGAGGGAGGAAGGUACAGAGUAUCGUAAACCUCUUUUGUCAGGGAACAAAGGCGGGGACGUGUCCCCGGCUGAGUGUACCUGACGAAAAAGCAUCGGCUAACUCCGUGCCAGCAGCCGCGGUAAUACGGAGGAUGCGAGCGUUAUCCGGAUUUAUUGGGUUUAAAGGGUGCGCAGGCGGUCUGUUAAGUCAGCGGUCAAAGCCCGGGGCUCAACCCCGGCCCGCCGUUGAAACUGGCAGUCGCGAGUGGGAGAGAGGUAGGCGGAAUGCGCGGUGUAGCGGUGAAAUGCAUAGAUAUCGCGCAGAACUCCGAUUGCGAAGGCAGCAUACCGGCUCCAAACUGACGCUGAGGCACGAAAGCGUGGGUAUCGAACAGGAUUAGAUACCCGAGUAGUC